rnacentral:rRNA from 1 species
UACGGGGGGGGGCAAGCGUUGUUCGGAAUUACUGGGCGUAAAGGGCUCGUAGGCGGCCAACUAAGUCCGACGUGAAAUCCCCAGGCUUAACCUGGGAACUGCGUCGGAUACUGGAUGGCUUGAAUUCGGGAGAGGGAUGCAGAAUUCCAGGUGUAGCGGUGAAAUGCGUAGAUAUCUGGAGGAAUACCGGUGGCGAAGGCGGCAUCCUGGACCGGCAUUGACGCUGAGGAGCGAAGCUAGGGAGCAACAGG